ACGGGAGGCAGCAGUGGGGAAUAUUGGACAAUGGAGGAAACUCUGAUCCAGCGACGCCGCGUGAGUGAAGAAGUAUUUCGGUAUGUAAAGCUCUAUCAGCAGGGAAGAUAAUGACGGUACCUGACUAAGAAGCCCCGGCUAACUACGUGCCAGCAGCCGCGGUAAUACGUAGGGGGCAAGCGUUAUCCGGAUUUACUGGGUGUAAAGGGAGCGUAGACGGUAUGGCAAGUCUGAUGUGAAAACCCGGGGCUCAACCCCGGGACUGCAUUGGAAACUGUCAAGCUCGAGUGCCGGAGAGGUAAGCGGAAUUCCUAGUGUAGCGGUGAAAUGCGUAGAUAUUAGGAGGAACACCAGUGGCGAAGGCGGCUUACUGGACGGUAACUGACGUUGAGGCUCGAAAGCGUGGGGAGCAAACAGGAUUAGAUACCCUGGUA
rnacentral:rRNA from 1 species